AAGAAGAAGAAGGAGUGAACAACAUGAAAUUGGCUUUGGUAUACGUCAUUGAAGAAUGUUAAUGAAUCCAAACAUUGGUUUUGGGGUGUUCUUGCUAGAAAAGCCAAAGACAUUCUCGACGAUGAUGAUAAUGGAGUUCAGGAUUAUGAUUCACCCGAACAACAAGGACGGAUAUGCUGUCUUUGCCAACAAGGGGAUAAGGCUAUGUUGGGGCAAAAACUGUACAGGCAAAGACAUAAGAGUGAUGGAUUUUGGAAUGAAAUGCAGAGGAUAUCAUUUUGUGCUGCUUAAGAGAGCUCAGCAUGAGGGUGCUGUUGGUUUACCUUGCCUGGAUGUGUUGCAGUGCAGGGUUGUUCAAGAAAAAAGGUUUUAAAGGAUCCUUUGCAGAUGCAAGAUCUUCUGCUAAAUGAUAACAUUGCAAUCCGAGUGUAAUUAGUUUAGUUUUUUCUAGUUUUUUUUUUGUGAAAUGUUAUUUACAAUGUCAGAAUGUUUCUUGGAAUUCAGUUGUCAAGGUUUCUUUUUAUAUUUUCCCCUUUUUAGACAUUUGCAGUUUUGUCCGGAGUGUGUGAGCUGUUGCUUCAGCCAAAACAGGUGCUCUCUCCAGUUUUUCAUUUCUUCCAUACUCAAACCCUAGCCGCUCCACCUGAAUCUCCCACACAUAAGCAAACUCCAUCUGAAAGCCGAAGAAUCCAAAGGCACAACAGGGAUUGUAGACUACACAAACUUAGAAGAUAUGAAGUGUGCGAUCAAAAAGCUUGAUGGCUCUGAGUUCCGAAAUGCUUUUGACCGCCAAUCUGUUCGCGUUGGUCAAGGACAUGGGGAUAAGAGCACUUUGGAAAUGGUACGGUGCACAAAUAUGGAAAAAGCACGACAGGGGAAAGCUGGGAUAUUGUUGUGGAUGAGGAGACCUAUUACGAGUGAGUCUGGACUUGGUUCUGGUUCUGUCUACAUAUAGUAUGUUGAAGCAGUCAAAAGGAUUUCAGGGGCUAUAAGGGAUGGCUGUAGAGGCCACCCGCUCGAUAUUGCCUUGUUCGGUUGUUCAUCCAGAUACAAAUUCUUGUUUAGCUCAGAAUGCACGGGCUACAUCAGCUACAUUUAGGAAAACAUUUCCGCUUUACUUUUCUUUGAUGUUUGUACCAUUCGUUGUUUUCAGCCUACAGAAGGUAAAUUCUUCAAACUCAGCCUUUUCUUCUCAUUUUUUACUAGGAUAAUGCUUCUUUAACAAUUAUUUUCUGAAAUGGUGCGUUUACCUAUUAGUUCUGCCGACCACGAUAUUGGAUUUAUUGCCAUGAAUGCACAUUUGCCUUCAGAAGGCAAUUCGAUCUAA